rnacentral:rRNA from 1 species
AGUGGAUGGGGAGCAACCUAGUUGUGCGUGUGUAAAGGUAGUGCCAAGAAAAGCGAUGAUCAUGUUGAAAAUCAAUUCCCGGUACCCGAAACCGACACAGGUGGGCAAGUAGAGAAUACUAAGGGGCGCGAGGUAACUCUCUCCAAGGAACUCGGCAAAAUGACCCCGUAACUUAGGGAGAAGGGGUGCCACCGAGAGGUGGUCGCAGUGAAGAGGCCCAGGCGACUGUUUAGCAAAAACAUAGGUCUCUGCAAACUCGAAAGAGGAGGUAUAGGGGCUGACGCCUGCCCAGUGCCGGAAGGUUAAAGAAGUUGGUCAGUUUUAGGAUGAAGCUAGCGACUGAAGCCCCGGUGAACGGCGGCCGUAACUAUAACGGUCCUAAGGUAGCGAAAUUCCUUGUCGGGUAAGUUCCGACCCGCACGAAAGGCGUAACGAUCUGGGCGCUGUCUCGGAGAGAGGCUCGGCGAAAUAGGAUUGUCUGUGAAGAUACGGACUACCUGCAUUUGGACAGAAAGACCCUAUGAAGCUUUACUAUAGCUUGGAAUUGUGUUCGGGCUUCCUGUGCGCAGGAUAGGUGGGAGGCGUAGAAGGUAUUCUUGUGGGGAUACUGGAGCCAACGGUGAGAUACCACUCUCAGGAGGCUAGAAUUCUAACUUAAUUAAGGACAGUUUCAGGUGGGUAGUUUGACUGGGGCGGUCGCCUCCAAAAAGGUAACGGAGGCGUACAAAGGUUCCCUCAGACUGGUUGGAAAUCAGUCGAAGAGUGCAAAGGCAGAAGGGAGCUUGACUGCGAGAAGUACAGUUCGAGCAGGGUGGAAACACGGUCUUAGUGAUCCGACGGUGCUGUGUGGAAGGGCCGUCGCUCAACGGAUAAAAGUUACUCUAGGAUAACAGGCUGAUCUCCCCCAAGAGUUCACAUCGACGGGGAGGUUUGGCACCUCGAUGUCGGCUCAUCGCAACCUGGGGCGGAAGUACGUCCCAAGGGUUGGGCUGUUCGCCCAUUAAAGCGGUACGUGAGCUGGGUUCAGAACGUCGUGAGACAGUUCGGUCCAUAUCCGAUGUAGGCGUGAGAAUAUUGAGAGGAGCCUUCCUUAGUACGAGAGGACCGGGAAGGACGCACCGCUGGUGUACCUGUUAUGAUGCCAAUUGUAAACGCAGGGUAGCCAAGUGCGGAGAGGAUAACCGCUGAAAGCAUCUAAGUGGGAAGCCCACCUCAAGAUGAGUAUUCUGGUGUAAGGUCACGGGAAGACGACCCGUAAAUAGGCACGAGGU